AAAAUAGGUGCCCGUACCGCAAACCGACACAGGUAGUCAAGAUGAGAAUUCUAAGGUGAGCGAGCGAACUCUCGUUAAGGAACUCGGCAAAAUGACCCCGUAACUUCGGGAGAAGGGGUGCUCUUUAGGGUUAACGCCCAGAAGAGCCGCAGUGAAUAGGCCCAAGCGACUGUUUAUCAAAAACACAGGUCUCUGCUAAACCGUAAGGUGAUGUAUAGGGGCUGACGCCUGCCCGGUGCUGGAAGGUUAAGAGGAGUGGUUAGCUUCUGCGAAGCUACGAAUCGAAGCCCCAGUAAACGGCGGCCGUAACUAUAACGGUCCUAAGGUAGCGAAAUUCCUUGUCGGGUAAGUUCCGACCCGCACGAAAGGCGUAACGAUUUGGGCACUGUCUCAACGAGAGACUCGGUGAAAUCAUAGUACCUGUGAAGAUGCAGGUUACCCGCGACAGGACGGAAAGACCCCGUGGAGCUUUACUGUAGCCUGAUAUUGAAAUUCGGCACAGCUUGUACAGGAUAGGUAGGAGCCUUUGAAACGUGAGCGCUAGCUUACGUGGAGGCGCUGGUGGGAUACUACCCUAGCUGUGUUGGCUUUCUAACCCGCACCACUUAUCGUGGUGGGAGACAGUGUCAGGCGGGCAGUUUGACUGGGGCGGUCGCCUCCUAAAAGGUAACGGAGGCGCUCAAAGGUUCCCUCAGAAUGGUUGGAAAUCAUUCAUAGAGUGUAAAGGCAUAAGGGAGCUUGACUGCGAGACCUACAAGUCGAG
rnacentral:rRNA from 1 species